rnacentral:rRNA from 1 species
AUUGAACGCUGGCGGCAGGCCUAACACAUGCAAGUCGGGCGAGCGGCGGACGGGUGAGUAAUGUAUGGGGAUCUGCCUGAUGGCGGGGGAUAACUACUGGAAACGGUAGCUAAUACCGCAUACUGAUGGAUGAACUCGCGGUGCAUUUGCUAGUUGGUGAGGUAACGGCUCACCAAGGCCACGAUGCAUAGCCGGUCUGAGGUGGUGGUCAGCCCGACUGGAACUGAGACACGGCCCAGACUCCUACGGGAGGCAGCAGUAGGGAAUCUUCGGCAAUGGGCGAAAGUUUGACCGAGCAACGCCGCGUGUAUGAAGAAGGCCUUCGGGUUGUAAAGUACUUUCAGUCGGGAGGCGUUACCGACAGAAGAAGCACCGGCUAACUCCGUGCCAGCAGCCGCGGUAAUUC